GAACUGCCUAUUUAGUGUCACUUCCUCUCUCUCUCUCUCUCAGUGAGGUUGGGCUAUCUCCAUGGCGUUGGGAGCUAGCUCAGCGACGUUGGGAGCUAGCUCAGCGACGUUGGGAGCUCUGGGUGACGUUUUGGCGUGCUUGCUGAUAGCGUGAUUUAGGUGAGACGUCUUCCCUGAGCGACCUUGCUCAUUCUACAGAUGAAGAAACUGAGGCAAAUAGGAGAAAAGUAACUUGCCCAUGGUCACAGAGCUAGAACAUAAUCUUUUGGCUAAUAAGUUAACAGAAGUGACCACCUACAUUAAUACCAAUGACAGCAUCAGUAAUUCCAGCCGUGUGUUUGCUUCCUUUCUGAGAAGCUGAGAACCCAGCCCAUAUCUCUUUCAUCCUCUUGACAUUUCUAUGGGGGGGGGGGGGAGGAGGGAGGGAAGGAAAGGAGGCAAAAAGGGAAGGGAGGUAUUAGGAAAUGAUGUCAUGGUAUAAAUUGUCAUUGCUAUUGAGUUGUUUUG
rnacentral:lncRNA from 1 species